GACGAACCGUGCGAACGUUGUUCGGAAUCACUGGCUUAAAGGGCGCGUAGGCGGGUUCGCAAGUCUGUGGUGAAAGCCCCAGCUUAACUGGGGAAGUGCCGUGGAUACUGCGAAUCUUGAGGAGGGUGAGGGCGUCGUGGAACGGUCGGUGGAGCGGUGAAAUGCGUUGAUAUCGACCGGAACUCCGGUGGCGAAGGCGAGGCGCUGGACCCUUCUGACGCUGAGGCGCGAAAGCCAGGGAGCAACGGG
rnacentral:rRNA from 1 species